CAGCGUUCUCUUCGCUGUGCGGUUCACCUUUGCCGGUUUCUGUCCGUCACUGUCCACCUUCAGGGUGUUCUUGCUUGUUUUACUUCUGAGCUCAGUCUUCCGCCCCUGCCCUUUGUCCCACGGUCACGGGGAACGGUUGCUGUGUUUAGGACCCAGUGGAUGAUAAAACUCAGAGACCACAUAGCUAAAGAAUGGCCAACCUGGAUUUUGAAUCUGGGCAAUCUUGACACCAGAGCCUUCCAGCCUAAAGCACUUGACUCUGUGCCCCCCCAGAAUCCAUGACUGCCUCAGACCAGCUCCAUUCUGAACCCCUCUUUUCCAGCACAAGGAGGUGAAGUGACUUGCUCCAUCCGAGUCUCUCUCUCUCCUCCACUUAAUUGGGAGGAGGAGGGGCCCAGGACUCCUGCUCCUGUCGCCUCACACCGUCUGCUGCCUGUUGUCAUCUUGGAAACCCGCUUCGUUCAAUCCAUCAACAGGAAUUUCUGGGAGCAGUCUGGCCACUUUGUUUGUUACUCUUCUAGCUCUUUCCUUAACACUUUAUAUUUGCAAAAUAUUUGCUUAAAGCAAUAGUGUCGAUCAUUAAGGUUCUUAAGUAGUCCACAGUGAGUUUGCUAGCAAUACCAGGCCCUCUUCCCUGUAUUUAAAUUCUGAUCUAAUAAGAUCAGAUCGAAUAGUAGGGCCCUAGUGUUACUGAUGAAGGAAGUCAGAGGUUUGUCCUUCAAGGAAAAAACGGCUUACACGAAUGGGGAGUGAAGGAAAUAAAGGAUAGCCCUCAAUCUUGCCUGCACCCUCCCUCCGUUGGGGAAGCCUCAGUGCAACGUAGGGAAUUUGCCUGUGUCUCCUACAACAGAAUACUACUCAGCAAUAUAAGGAACUAACUCCUGAUACAUGGAACAGGGGUGAAUCUCAAAAGCACUCUCUUGAGUGAAAGAAGUCAGAGAGCAGAGCGCAUCCGAUAGAAACCGGAUCUGUGGUUAUUUUCGGGAGGGAGGGGCAUUGGUUGGGAAGGGAUUUGAGGGUACUUUCUUGGUGAUGAAAAUGUCUAUGUCUUGAUUGACAAGGGUGUGCAUUACAGGAGUAGAUGCCUUUGUCAAAAUCUAUCUAAUUGUACCUUUAUGAUCUGUGCUUUUCAUUGUAGACAAAUCAUAUCUUAAAUGUUUUAAC